rfam:Schistosoma margrebowiei strain Zambia genome assembly, scaffold: SMRZ_scaffold0001994
GCACUGCUGAGGAGUCCCAUACCAGGACGAAACGCCCGUCCGGUGC